UACGUAGGGUGCAAGCGUUAAUCGGAAUUACUGGGCGUAAAGCGUGCGCAGGCGGUUCUAUAAGACAGAUGUGAAAUCCCCGGGCUCAACCUGGGAACUGCAUUUGUGACUGUAGAGCUGGAGUACGGUAGAGGGGGAUGGAAUUCCGCGUGUAGCAGUGAAAUGCGUAGAUAUGCGGAGGAACACCGAUGGCGAAGGCAAUCCCCUGGACCGGUACUGACGCUCAUGCACGAAAGCGUGGGGAGCAAACAGG
rnacentral:rRNA from 1 species